rnacentral:misc_RNA from 1 species
GCUGUUACUCUCUCUGCAUGCAUUUGACGUAUGGGUCGUCGCUAUUUUACACAGGUAGAUUUGCUUCUUGUUCAUGGUCUUGCACAAUAUAUUGCACAAACGGUUGACAUUCGGUACUCGUACAUAUGUUUGUUGUCAGCUGGCUAUUCGUGCACUUAACACAGGACUAUCUUUCGGAAUGGCGUGUGCUACCCCUUCUGUUAAGAAACAACUGACAACUGAGCCAUACGCCGAUCAAAAACAACACUGGCCAAAAAGCGGCCGUCACAUUGUGGCCCAGUACGACGAGAAUUCAGUGGUUGUGUAUCAAGCUUUCAACCCGUCUAUCGCCAGUUAUGCAGUGGAGCACCAGGAGUUUGGUGGUGACAGCUUCAGUUACACGCGCAUGUCAUGGAUCAAGACCAACUUCCUGUGGAUGAUGUAUCGAUGCGGGUGGGUCGCGAAGAAGAACCAGGAGAGAGUGCUUGCCGUCACCUUAACACGCGACGGCUUUGAGGAGAUACUCGCAAAUGCCUACACAGUCCAUUUUCAGAAGUCACGCAAUGUAAGGACAGAAGACAUUGAAGUACGACUACAGUGGGACCCUGAUCACACUCCUUCAGGAGGGAAGGUGGAGCGAAGGGCUAUUCAGCUUGGCCUCAAAGGAAAUAUGCUAAAGAAGUAUGGAAAGCAAUUCAUUGUGAAAAUUGAAGACAUUACACCAUUUGUGAAGGAGCAACAUCAGGUAUUGAACGAGAAGGGUCAGUGGGAGAUCCACACCCCUAGUGAAAGAGUCUACAACGUCACCGACCAGGCCGUGGCACAGAGGAUUGCCCUGGACUUCCAUGAAACUGGGCCAACUCUGGUCUCCUCAACAUCAUGAAACUGGGCCAACUCUGGUCUCCUCAACAUCAUGAAACUGGGCCAACUCUGGUCUCCUCAACAUCAUGAAACUGGGCCAACUCUGGUCUCCUCAACAUCAUGAAACUGGCCUAACAACUCUCUCCUGUAGAUGCAGAAACUUGUCCAAGUAUUGUCCCCUGGAGGUAACGAAACUGGUCCAAAUAUUGUCCCCUGGAGGUGACGAAACUGGGCCAAGUAUUGUUUCCUGGAGGUGACGAAACUGGGCCAAGUAUUGUUUCCUGGAGGUGAAGAAACUGGUCCAUGACCUUCUCCUGAAAUUAAUUUAAGUUGGCUGAAUAUUGACUCCCAGUGGUGAUGACAUAUUAGAUCUGGUUUAUUUUCUCAUUGUUGAAAAGCAUUUUAUAUAUACAUUUUUAGCAGUAUACAUUUUUAAUAAAAACUGUGAAAACUCUAAAAAGAAGUUUUAAGUGUGAAUUUGUUAUGUGAUAUUUCUCAUGUGCAAGGAGUAAUGUGUUUUUCAUCUGUAUUAUGCAGAAAAUAUUUGAAUAUAAAAUUUCAGCAGUUCUUUUUAUGAAGUGACUUUCUUUGACAUCUUAAACUGUUGACUACAUACCCAGGUGAGCUACAGCCGAUUCCAGGGGCAAUACAUACUUUUGUAUGAAAUAAACACAAAUAUACCAAUUAUUGUGACAAACUGAAUUUUUCAGUUUCUACUUUCACAUUUCUGUGCAUUAGGCUACCUUAAAACUGAAGAAGACAUUUUGUUGUUGAACUUAUGAACAAAUAGCAUUUUUGGAUGGAUACAUGUCAUUGUGUUGAAAAGUUUAUUGUUAUUACACAUGAUUUUGUUGAUAUUCAUAUGCAAUAAAUGUAUCA